UACAGAGGUCUCGAGCGUUGUUCGGAUUCAUUGGGCGUAAAGGGCGCGUAGGCUGCGGGGCAAGUCGGGUGUGAAAUCUCAGAGCUCAACUCUGAAACUGCACUCGAUACUGCUUUGCUUGAGGACUGGAGAGGAGAUUGGAAUUCACGGUGUAGCAGUGAAAUGCGUAGAUAUCGUGAGGAAGACCAGUGGCGAAGGCGGAUCUCUGGACAGUUCCUGACGCUGAGGCGCGAAAGCGUGGGGAGCAAACAGG
rnacentral:rRNA from 1 species